UAAUUAGAAGGCCCGGUGGAA
ensembl:piRNA 21ur-51 ncRNA